UACGGAGGGGGCUAGCGUUGUUCGGAAUUACUGGGCGUAAAGCGCACGUAGGCGGCUUUGUAAGUUAGAGGUGAAAGCCCAGGGCUUAACCCUGGAAUUGCCUUUAAGACUGCAACUGCUCGAAUUGUGGAGAGGUGAGUGGAAUUCCGAGUGUAGAGGUGAAAUUCGUAGAUAUUCGGAAGAACACCAGUGGCGAAGGCGACUCACUGGACACAUAUUGACGCUGAGGUGCGAAAGCGUGGGGAGCAAACAGG
rnacentral:rRNA from 1 species